rnacentral:rRNA from 1 species
AUACGGAGGAUGCGAGCGUUAUCCGGAUUUAUUGGGUUUAAAGGGUGCGUAGGUGGGAUAUUAAGUCAGCUGUGAAAGUUUGGGGCUCAACCUUAAAAUUGCAGUUGAUACUGGUUUCCUUGAGUACGGUAUAGGUGGGCGGAAUUCGUGGUGUAGCGGUGAAAUGCUUAGAUAUCACGAAGAACUCCGAUCGCGAAGGCAGCUCACCGGGCCGGAACUGACACUGAUGCUCGAAAGUGCGGGUAUCAAACAGGAUUAGAUACCCUGGUAGUCCGCACAGUAAACGAUGAAUACUCGCUGUUUGCGAUACACUGUAAGCGGCCAAGCGAAAGCGUUAAGUAUUCCACCUGGGGAGUACGCCGGCAACGGUGAAACUCAAAGGAAUUGACGGGG